rnacentral:rRNA from 1 species
UCGCCUGUUUAUCAAAAACAUCUCUUUUUGAAAUUAAUAUAAAGUAUGAUCUGCUCAAUGAUUAUUUAAAUAGCUGCAGUAAUUUGACUGUACAAAGGUAGCAUAAUCAAUAGUUUCUUAAUUGGAAGCUGGAAUGAAGGAUUGAAUGAAAUAAUAAUUGUCUCAAAUUUAAUAGUAAUAGAAUUUUUUAUAUUAGUUAAAAAGCUAAUAUGAUCUUAAAAGACGAGAAGACCCUAUAGAUUUUUAUAGUUUUAAUUAAAAAUUAUUUUUAUAUAAGAUUAAAUUUAUAGUUAAAAUUAUUUAAUUGGGGUAAUUUAUAAAUUAAUUAAAUUUUAUAAUUUUUUUAACAAUGAUUAUUGAUUAAAUGAUCCUUAAUAAAGAUAGUUAGAAUAAAAUACCUUAGGGAUAACAGCGUAAUUUUUUUGGAGAGAUCAUAUUAAUAAAAAAGAUUGCGACCUCGAUGUUGAAUUAAAAUAAAAUUAUAAUGGAGAAGUUAUAAAAUUUUGGUCUGUUCGACCAUUGAAAUUUUACGUGAUCUGAGUUCAGACCGGA